GACCUUCAAACCACAUGCUAAUAGUACUUAUUGAGUACACGACCCCUAUUGACUUUGGGAUCACCAGAUCAAAGAUCAAGGUGCUGCAGGGGGCAUUUGUCACCAUUAGUGACAGCUCUUGUUGUUAUCUACUUUUUAAGAUGGAAGUUUCCUAGAUUUCCACAGUCCGUGAAGAACAAGGAAUAAUAAUUGCUUUAUUAUUGCUUAACUUUUGUUUUAUCAUUGCUUUAUAAUUGCUUAAUGAUAUAUUUUGUAGAUAACCUUGUUUUUUGUUGCUUUGUAUAGACAUUGAGGGUACUUGUUAAAUAUGAUUGCAAUAAGUAUGUGCCUGUAAGACACAAUAAAAGUAAGGUGGACAGUGCUCAGCUAAAUAUUGACCAGUUGCCUCAUGUUGGAUUGCUCUGCCUCCUAGAUCAUGUGGUCUGGAAAUGCAUAUUCCACAAACAAGCUUCAAAAUGAAGGAUACGAUAAUGUCGAGUAACUGUUCUUAACAUAUUGACAAAUAUACCUUUCCUACUAAACAUCAUUGCAGUGUCCGACAAAUUUAUAAUUUUACUGGUAGCCCACUGGGCUACCAGAAUUUUUUUCUGGUAGCCCAGCAUUUUCUUGUAGUUGCCCAGAAAAUUAACCAUGAAAGUACUAACUUGCUGUAUCCGUACCCGACUUACUGAGAUGUGAGAAUAAGAUUGGUCUUUAACAGUAUUUUGUUAAUAACAGAAAUCUAAAAACACAAAGAUAAACAUUUCAUUCUCUUUAAUCAUAAUAUAGAAGUACAAGUUGAAGUUAAUACAACAUCUUAUUAAAGAAACAUUUUCACACAAGUAUCUCUUAGUUUACAACUUAAAAG
rnacentral:lncRNA from 1 species